rnacentral:rRNA from 1 species
GACGAACGCUGGCGGCGUGCCUAAUACAUGCAAGUAGAACGCUGAGGGAGGAGCUUGCUUCUCUGGAUGAGUUGCGAACGGGUGAGUAACGCGUAGGUAACCUGCCUGGUAGCGGGGGAUAACUAUUGGAAACGAUAGCUAAUACCGCAUAACAGUAGAUAUCGCAUGAUAUCUACUUGAAAGGUGCAAUUGCAUCACUACCAGAUGGACCUGCGUUGUAUUAGCUAGUUGGUGAGGUAACGGCUCACCAAGGCGACGAUACAUAGCCGACCUGAGAGGGUGAUCGGCCACACUGGGACUGAGACACGGCCCAGACUCCUACGGGAGGCAGCAGUAGGGAAUCUUCGGCAAUGGACGGAAGUCUGACCGAGCAACGCCGCGUGAGUGAAGAAGGUUUUCGGAUCGUAAGCUCUGUUGUAAGAGAAGAACGAGUGUGAGAGUGGAAAGUUCACACUGUGACGGUAUCUUACCAGAAAGGGACGGCUAACUACGUG